rnacentral:rRNA from 1 species
UACGUAGGGGGCAAGCGUUGUCCGGAAUCAUUGGGCGUAAAGCGCGUGUAGGCGGCUCGGUAAGUCUGCUGUGAAAGCCCAGGGCUCAACCCUGGGAUGCCGGUGGAUACUGUCGAGCUCGAGUCCGGAAGAGGCGAGUGGAAUUCCUGGUGUAGCGGUGAAAUGCGCAGAUAUCAGGAGGAACACCAAUGGCGAAGGCGGCUCUCUGGGACGGUACUGACGCUGAGACGCGAAAGCGUGGGGAGCGAACAGG